rnacentral:rRNA from 1 species
AUGGCGAUCGGCGCACGGGUGAGUAACACGUAUCCAACCUGCCGAUAACUCGGGGAUAGCCUUUCGAAAGAAAGAUUAAUACCCGAUGGCAUAAUUAGACCGCAUGGUCUUAUUAUUAAAGAAUUUCGGUUAUCGAUGGGGAUGCGUUCCAUUAGGCAGUUGGUGAGGUAACGGCCCACCUAGUCAACGAUGGAUAGGGGUUCUGAGAGGAAGGUCCCCCACAUUGGAACUGAGACACGGUCCAA